AACACUAGAACAACAAAGCUUGGGAGUAGGAUAGGGAUGGUUUCCAGGAGGAAAAUCAGGCUCCUUUUAUAGCAAAAGAAUGGAUGCUGGCCAGCAAAAGUAGCAGGUUUUCAUUACUCAUGGAGUUGAAGAUAGAGUGGAUCUGCCUGGGAGAGCAAUGAAAGAAAACUGCUGAUGUUUGGCAGCAGGCUUAGAAAGCAGCCCUCUGUGGACAGGAGACUAGCACAGAGCUCCAGAAGGGAAGAGUUAUUUGGGAAAAUGGGACAUGAUAGAAUAAUGUUGUAAUGGAGACUUUGAAAACUUGAAGCUCUUUUAAAGCUAAUUGGUAUAAGAAAACAGCAAUUAAAUAUCAGGAAAAAAAUGUAUACAAGAAAGGAAAAGCAAUCGUAUUAUACUAGAUGGCAUACAAUGAAUAAUUUUUUUUACUCAAAAAUAUCAAAUGCAUAUUGAGUUUUAAUUGAGUUAAUUGAGAGAAAACUCAGCUGGGUGCAGUGGCUCAUGCCUGUAAUCCCAGCACUUUGAGAGGCUGGGGCGGGCGGAUCAUGAGGUCAAGAGAUCGAUACCAUCCUGGCUAACACAGUGAAACCCGUCUCUACAAAAAUACAAAAAAUUAGCCGGGUGUGGUGGCAUGCACCUGUAGUCCCAGCUACUCAGGAGGCUGAGGCAGGAGAAUCACCUGAACCUGGGAGGCAGAGAUUGCAAUGAGUCAAGAUCAUGCCAUUGCACUCCAGCCUGGGUGACAGAGUGAGACUCCAUCAAAAAAAAAAAAAAAAAAAAAAAGGAAAGAAAGAAAGAAAGGAAGAAGGAAACAAAGAAAGAAAGAGAACUUCUGGAAUACUUAAUUACAGUUAUAGAAUAGUAUGUUAUGUAAAUGUUCUCAAUGUUCACAUUGUGUGGUGAAAUGCCCUGUGUGGUGAAGGUGGUAGUAAUGUGAAGGAGUGGUCAAAGGAAGUGCUAAUGUUAUCUUAUGACAUGAAGAACCGAGAGACAUUAUUUUUAUUGGAUGGAUGUUGAAGUAAAACCAUAUGUUACUAUAAAUAACAAAGAAUGUGACUGUGUUUGGAGUUGGGCCUUCGAAGAGGACGUUUAAACGAAAUCAUUACAGUAGGCCUAAAAUCAAUAUGACUGGUGUUCCUAUAAGGAGAAGAGAUUAAGUUGCACACAGAGGGAAGACCAUGAGCAGACAUGGGGAGAAGACGGCCCCCUACAAGCCAAGGAGAAAGACUUCAGAGGAAUCAACCCUGCUAAAAUCUUGAUCUUGGACUUCAAGACACCAGAAAUGAGAAAAUAACUUUCUGUUGUGUAAGCCACCCCAGCUGUGGUACUUUGUUAUGGCAGUCCUAGGAAACUAUGCACCACAGGCUCUCUCACAUGUCUUUUACAAAGGCACUAAUCCUAUUCAUGAGGGUUCUGACCUCAUGACUUAAUCACCUCCCCAAAGGCCUCACCUCCUAGUAGUAUCCCACUAAAGAUUAGGUUCCAACAUCCAAAUUUGCUGGGAGGAGGGGACACCAACAUUUGGAUGAUAGCACAAGUGGUAGACAAAGCUUGGAAACAGUUAUAUUGGGAAAUGAUUUUCUUAAUGUUUACACUUCAUUAUAUGCUCUUCUCAGAAACCAAAAAUAUGAGUGCCAAUGAGGGCUUUGGCUCAUGGUCAAGGACAGAAAGAAUGAGAAAAAAAUUGCUUGAAGAUAUGUUUCUAAGGUCAAGCCAGCAGACCUGGUUAAUUAAUAGAAUGUGUAGGUGAGAGGAGAAGAAACAUGAAUGAGUCUAAGCUUAAGCUUUCUGAAGCUGAAUAAAUGGAGAUGGAGAUGCCUGGGAAAGGAGCAGGAUUUCAAAUACCAGAAGACAAUGAGAUAGAGAGGAGCAAGAAAAGUUAGCCGUGGAAAGACCCAGUGCAAUGCAUUCCACUCGUGUAUCUGAAAACAGAGAAUCCAUGAAUGAUAAGACAAUAAACUUGAGUGGAGGGAAGGACAAUAAUCCUGUUCCCUUGCUUCUCAGAAUACAAGAUAAAAUGGUUAAAAUCCCUGAAUGAAUUACGUUUCAUUGGAAAAUGUGCAGUUGUCCCUUCGGUUCUUGAUGGAGAUCAGAAAAAUUGCAAGAGACUUCAUCAUCUGUUUACAUAUACUUAGGCACCGUCUUAUGUUGAUAUUGUAGAAUGAAGAAACAUAACUCAGUCACAAAAGCAUCCAAAUUAAAGGCCUACAACUUGCACUUGAAAAACCAAUUAUGAGCUGCAACAACAGACCUAACAAGUUAAACAAAUAAAAUAUAAUGAUUUACUUCCUCCUGGA